UACGUAGGUGGCAAGCGUUACUCGGAAUCACUAGGCGUAAAGCGCAGGUAGGAGGUUCGAUAAGUCUGUUGUGAAAGCUCCCGGCUUAACUGGGAGAGGUCAACGGAAACUGUCGAGCUAGAGUGUGGUAGAGGUAGCUGGAAUUCCCGGUGUAGCGGUGAAAUGCGUAGAUAUCGGGAGGAAUACCUAUGGCGAAAGCAGGCUACUGGACCAUCACUGACUCUGAGGAGCGAAAGCAUGGGGAGCGAACAGG
rnacentral:rRNA from 1 species